rnacentral:SRP_RNA from 4 species
UCGGUCCCUCGCGACGCUAGAUCGAAAAUCCCGCCAGGGCCGGAAGGCAGCAACGGUAUCGAUUGAUGCGGGCGCCGAGGUCAACCGG